CCUACGAGUGGCAGCAGUGAGGAAUAUUGGUCAAUGGGCGCGAGCCUGAACCAGCCAAGUCGCGUGAGGGAAGACGGUCCUAUGGAUUGUAAACCUCUUUUGUCAGGGAGCAAAAGACGCCACGCGUGGCGUUCCGAGAGUACCCGAAGAAAAAGCAUCGGCUAACUCCGUGCCAGCAGCCGCGGUAAUACGGAGGAGGCGAGCGUUAUCCGGAUUUAUUGGGUUUAAAGGGAGCGUAGGCCGGUUGUUAAGGGCAUGGUGAAAGUUCGCGGGUCAACCGUAAUCUUGCAGUUGAAACUGGCAUUCGUGAGUACAUGAGAGGUGGGCGGAAUUCGUGGUGUAGCGGUGAAAUGCUUAGAUAUCACGAAGAACUCCGAUUGCGAAGGCAGCUCACUGGCCUUCAACUGACGCUGAGGCUCGAAAGUGUGGGUAUCAAACAGGAUUAGAUACCCCUGUAGUC
rnacentral:rRNA from 1 species